AGCCUUCUGAAAGGCCUUGAACAGCUGCUGUUUCACAGACUGGUAGGUGUGCGCCCCCAGCUUGGCCUCACAGUACAUGGAGGGUGUGUCUCCGGGGCUGGGUGUCCGUGUGCUCAGCUGCAGACAAGAAGGAGAAAGAGCCAAUCAGACACCAGCAGAAAAGGAGCUUCCACCAAGUGAGUUUUACACGCCAGGCAUCAGCUCCUGGCCUUGGCCUUUUGCCUUUCUUUCUCCCACUAUUACAGAGAGCAACCGUGACCAGGUCCUCCGGCUAUUCCACAGGAAACCCAGUCAUCGAGGAAACCCGCUUCAUUCGACGUCUGAACGAUCAGACGGCAUAGAUGCUUCCCUGACCUUCCCAGUCUCCAGGAGAAGGGAGACCCGGGCAGUGCCACUGAGCGGACAGGACAGAGACUGAGAGCUGCAGGAUACUGGGCGCCUUGGCCAAGCUCAGAACUAAUAUGUGCAAUUCUGAGUGUCCUCUAAGCUGGCGAAAACGUUUAUUUUAGGUGUCAGUAUGCCUACCCUGCUCUACCAGUUGACAAAUCGACAACACUAUUAUUCCGGCUUGGAGUCAUUGCUUGGAUUAAAAAGUACGGAAAAAUGA